rnacentral:sRNA from 1 species
AAUAUUAAACAGAUGGUGCAUUAUUCUAGUCGUACUGAAGUUUAUGAGGGUGGGGCUAAAAAUCCACUAAAGGGCACAUCGUUGAAGUUUCUUGAAGUUGCGCGAAAUGCCAGUUUUGUGUGGCUUUUGGGAGUAAAGAAAUUAGGGUAGUAUGUAAUGGCAUAUAUAUGAUUCCCUGGUUUCGCGGAGACUUAAAUUGAAAUAAUUAAACCUUUUUAUUAAGAUUUAAGUGUAACCUAUGUUGAGUGCCAAGACACAAAACACAUAGAGUAGCCUGUCUUGAGUGAAUAUAUCGGGAUUAAUUUACAUAGUGAAAUUUUAUUUUGGCCAAAUGAGUUUUGCUUUAUUAUGAAAUUAUAUUUGCAAAAAGGACUAAUAAACUUAUAAAGUAUGUCAAGGAAAACUUCUAGAAUGUUUGCUUAAAAUCUGUAAGCAUAGGAGUCUAGGGAUUAAGGUACAGAUUUAAGUGGCGAUCUGGUGUCUAUUAAUAGAUUUAGUAGAUAUUUCCCUCAAACGGAAACGGUUCUAGUAGUAAUACUAAACGGGAGAUAGAGAAAUUCAACCAGACCUAAACUGUAAAAUUUACUUAGGCUUUGACCAUCAAAAUU